rnacentral:siRNA from 1 species
ACCUUGGACCGGCCUUGUAGUAGA